AAAAGACUUAGUCCUAACCUUAUAGUUAGUUCUUGCUAAACAUAUACAUGCAAGUAUCCGCACCCCAGUGAAAAUGCCCUUGACACCUUAACAAGGCAAUAGGAGCAGGUAUCAGGCCCACCCUUUCCAUCAGUAGCCCAAAACACCUUGCCCAGCCACACCCCCACGGGUACUCAGCAGUAAUUAACAUUAAGCCAUAAGUGUAAACUUGACUUAGUUAAAGCAAAACAUUAGGGCUGGUAAAUCUUGUGCCAGCCACCGCGGUCACACAAGAAGCCCAAACUAACCUUUAUACGGCGUAAAGAGUGGCCUUACAUUAUCGUCCCAACUAAGAUUGAAAUACGUCCAAGCUGUUAUAAGCACAAGACACACCUAAUACCUUUUAUCAAAAUAAUCUCAGCCCCUACGACUAACCAAACUCCACGAAAGCCAGGGCACAAACUGGGAUUAGAUACCCCACUAUGCCUCGCCCUAAAUCUAGAUGCUUUUCCCCACCCAAGCAUCCGCCCGAGUACUACGAGCACAAACGCUUAAAACUCUAAGGACUUGGCGGUGCUCCAAACCCACCUAGAGGAGCCUGUUCUAUAAUCGAUAACCCACGUUACACCCAACCAUCCCUUGCCAAACCAGCCUAUAUACCGCCGUCGCCAGCUCACCCCUAACUUGAGGGAUCUGCAGUGAGCAUAAUAGCCCCACUUCGCUAACAAGACAGGUCAAGGUAUAGCUCAUGAGAUGGAAGAAAUGGGCUACAUUUUCUAACAUAGAAAACCCUAACGAAAAGGAAUGUGAAACCAUUCCUAGAAGGCGGAUUUAGCAGUAAGACAGGAUAAUAAUGCCCUCCUUAAGAUGGCCCUGGAGCACGUACAUACCGCCCGUCACCCUCCUCACAAGCCACAAUAACCACAUACUUAAUUCACCCCUAAGCUAAAGAUGAGGUAAGUCGUAACAAGGUAAGUGUACCGGAAGGUGCACUUAGUUUACC
rnacentral:ncRNA from 1 species